GCGACGCCGCGUGAACGAAGAAGGUUUUUGGGUUGUAAAGCUUUGUUGUUAGGGAAGAAGAAGUGCCGUUUGAACAGGGGGGCCCGGUGACGGUACCUAACGAGGAAGCCCCGGCUAAAUACGUGCCAGCAGCCGCGGUAAAACGUAGGGGGCGAGCGUUGUCCGGAAUUAUUGGGGGUAAAGCGCGCGCCGGCGGUCCCUUAAGUUUGAUGUGAAAACCCCCGGGUUAACCGGGGGGGGUCAUUGGAAACUGGGGGACUUGAGUGCCGAAGAGGGGAGCGGAAUUUCCCGUGUAGCGGUGAAAUGCGUAGAGAAGGGGAGGAACCCCAGUGGCGAAGGCGGCUUUUUGGUUCGUAACUGACGGUGAGGCGCGAAAGCGUGGGGAGCCAACCGGAUUAGAUACCCUGGUAGUCCCCGCCGUAAACGAUGAGUGCUAAGUGUUAGAGGGGUUAUUCCCU
rnacentral:rRNA from 1 species